CUAGACCCCAAAAGCUUAGAGGAGCUUCAGCCGCAACAGUAGAGAGACCCCGACCUCACUUCUUCUUUCAUCUUCAAUUUCACGUAGUUCCUUGGCUCUGUUUUUCCAGUUCGUUCAAGGUUUCUGGCGAGCUUCGAGGUCGUCCAGACAGUCGUUCGAGUGAUCCUGUCGCAGGUCUUGCUCAAGUUCUUUAUCCAGAUUGUAAUCACUGAGAUUCAUGUAGUUCGACGACGUUGGAAGCUUUGCGUUUUGAUAUAUUGAAAAGUUUAUUUGCCUAGUAAACAGGUUCAUUUUCUCACCUUUUAUGUAUUUAAUGGGUCAUAAUUAAUCUGGUUUCACAUGGUUUUGGCUGGUUAUAUAGUCUACUUGCUCGUUUAAAUGCC
rnacentral:lncRNA from 1 species